rnacentral:lncRNA from 1 species
CGAGGAGGACGCCCACCUGCAUACCGCCAACCCCUUCGUGGCAGCCGCCUCAGCACUGGGCCAGGCACUACACCGCGCCAGCGCCCGCCUGAGCGGCGUGUACGGCCACACCGCCGCCGCCGAGGGCCACUCGCAGUACGACGCUUCCCAGCACGAAAUUUCUCAGUACGACCCGUCGCAGUACUCCCACCCCAGCGGCGAGGACAAGGACAGCGAUGGCGGCGCCAGUGCCGGUGCCAACGGCCUGCCCUCUGGGGCCGCGAUCGAGCUCACCGAGCAGCAGAAGCAGCUGCAGCAGCUGCAGCAGCCCGGCCAGCAGAAGCCGGAGGGGCAGGGGCACGCGGUUGUGGUUGUCAGCGCGGGUGGCAGUAGCAGCAACAAUGCACACACGGGUGACGACGCGGCGGCGGCUGUGGGCGCGGACAUGUCCUUCAAGCCGGUGGUGAUGGCGUUCAAGGACGUGUCGUACUUCGUGCCCCACCCCGACAAGGCGCACCAGCAAGGUGCGUGGGCAGGGUUUCCUGGUUUGCUAGCUAGCGUGGUUAGUUCUCCUACAGGAUUAUGUGCAACUGCCGGUAAACAAGCGGCGCAAAAGCCUGCUGAGCUUCUCCCGCCCAUCCAUUCUGCCAUGGGGAACCUUUCGAACAACUGCGCAAUCCAAACUUCCAACGUAUGUCAACAGGCAAGGAGCUGCAGCUGCUGAACGGCGUGAGCGGUGUGUUCCGGCCCGGUGUGCUGACCUCCCUCAUGGGCGCCAGUGGCGCCGGCAAGACCACCCUGAUGGAC